CACGUAGGGCGCAAGCGUUGUCCGGAAUUAUUGGGCGUAAAGAGCUCGUAGGUGGUUUGUUACGUCCGCUGUGAAAUCCUAGGGCUUAACCCUGGGCUUGCAGUGGAUACGGGCAGACUAGAGGUAGGUGGGGGAGAAUGGAAUUCCUGGUGUAGCGGUGAAAUGCGCAGAUAUCAGGAGGAACACCGGUGGCGAAGGCGGUUCUCUGGGCAGUAACUGACGCUGAGGAGCGAAAGCGUGGGGAGCGAACAGG
rnacentral:rRNA from 1 species